AACGGCGAAGUGAAGCGGCAACAGCUCAAAUUUGAAAUCUGGCCCCCAGGCCCGAGUUGUAAUUUGUAGAGGAUGCUUCUGGCGACGCGACUUCCGAGUUCCCUGGAACGGGACGCCAAAGAGGGUGAGAGCCCCGUCCGGUCGUUCGCCUAGCCUAUGUGAAGCUCCUUCGACGAGUCGAGUAGUUUGGGAAUGCUGCUCUAAAUGGGAGGUAUACGUCUUCUAAAGCUAAAUAUUGGCCAGAGACCGAUAGCGCACAAGUAGAGUGAUCGAAAGAUGAAAAGCACUUUGAAAAGAGGGUUAAAUAGUACGUGAAAUUGCUGAAAGGGAAGCGCUUAUGACCAGACUUGGGCUAGGUGAAUCAUCCGGCGUUCUCGCCGGUGCACUUUGCCUGUCCAGGCCAGCAUCAGUUCGCUUCGGGGGAUAAAGGCUUCGGGAAUGUAGCUCCUCCGGGAGUGUUAUAGACCGUUGUGUAAUACCCUGGGGUGGACUGAGGUACGCGUUCUGCAAGGAUGCUGGCGUAAUGGUCAUCAGUGACCCGUCUUGAAACACGGACCAAGGAGUCGUCUUCGUAUGCGAGUGUUCGGGUGUCAAACCCCUACGCGUAAUGAAAGUGAACGUAGGAGAGAGCUUCGGCGCAUCUCCGACCGAUCCUGAUGUUCUCGGAUGGAUUUGAGUAAGAGCAUACGGGGCCGGACCCGAAAGAAGGUGAACUAUGCCUGUAUAGGGUGAAGCCAGAGGAAACUCUGGUGGAGGCUCGCAGCGGUUCUGACGUGCAAAUCGAUCGUCAAAUAU
rnacentral:rRNA from 1 species